rnacentral:lncRNA from 1 species
AACUCGACUCACUACAUAUAAAUAUCAUUUAAACUCUUAUAUAUAAAAACCCAACAUAAAACCCUUACUCUUUAAACUCUUAUAUAUGAAGACCCAACACAAAACCCUAGCAGUCAUCUAAGCUUCCCUAUUUAGCUGCUCCAAGCCUCCCACUCGAUUGAGACUCUUGAGGAUGGAAAAAUGCGAAGAAAAGUCCAAGCCUCUCC